rnacentral:RNase_P_RNA from 1 species
AGUGGGUCGGGCAACCGCGUGCAUUGCAUGAGGAAAGUCCGGGCUUCAAAAGGCAAGAUGCCAGCUAACGGCUGGGCGGGGCGACCCGACGGAUUAGUGCCACAGAAAAGAAAACUCUCUUUAGUUAAUGCUGAAGAGAAAAGCUGAAACGGUGCGGUAAAAGCGCACCAGUAUGCUGGUGACAGCAUAGCUUGGUAAACCCCAUCUGAAGCAAGCGCAAAUAGGAACGCUCUACGGCCGCCUUUCCGUGCGUUCGGGUUGCGUGCUUGAGUUACGCGGUGACGCGUAAUCGAGAUAAAUGGUUGCCGAUUACAGAACCCGGCUUAUAGACCCACUCU